UACGUAGGAUGCAAGCGUUGUCCGGAAUUAUUGGGCGUAAAGAGCACGUAGGUGGCUUGCUAAGUUCGGUCUUAAAGACCGGGGCUCAACCCCGGGAAUGGACUGAAAACUGGCAGGCUAGAGGAUGUCAGAGGAUGGUGGAAUUCCCAGUGUAGCGGUGAAAUGCGUAGAUAUUGGGAGGAACACCUGUGGCGAAAGCGGCCAUCUGGGGCAUUCCUGACACUGAGGUUCGAAAGCUCGGGGAGCAAACAGG
rnacentral:rRNA from 1 species